AUUGAACGCUAGCGGGAUGCUUUACACAUGCAAGUCGCACGCGUGGCGGACGGGUGAGUAAUAUAUCGGAACGUGCCCAGUAGCGGGGGAUCACUACUCGAAAGAGUGGCUAGUACCGCCUACAAAUGGAGCUGCCGAUAUCGGAUUAGCUAGUUGGGGGGGUAAAGGCUCACCAAGACAACGAUCCGUAGCUGGUUUGAGAGAACGACCAGCCACACGGGGACGGAGCAACGUCCCAGAACCCUACGGGAGGCAGCAGUGGGGAAGUUUGGACAAUGGGGGAAACCCUGAUCCAGCCAUCCCGCGUGUAUGAGAAGGCCUUCGGGUUGUAAAGUACUUUUGGCAGAGAAGCGGUAUCUGCAGAAUAAGCACCGGCUAACUACGUGCCAGCCGCCGCGGUAAUUC
rnacentral:rRNA from 1 species